ensembl:lncRNA
AGAUCCUUUCUCUUGGAGUCCUUCUGUGAGCCCAGGACAUGGGGCAUGGAUCCAUGUGUCUCUGUGUCCCUCCAUUCCGCUAUUCACAGAACUGAGCCAAACCAGCCAGCAUGCUGUUGACACAAUGCCAACGUAGCUGCCAGUAAUAUGCAUUGCAGCUGAUUUUGAAAACCUGAAUCAAGACAGAAGAUACUGGCCUUCUACAGCAGUCAGCUUUUGUGCGAUCAUCUUGCAAAGAGAUAUUUUAUCACUUCUACUUGUCUUCAAAGCUCUGGACAACAAAAAUAUAUAAAUGAUUGGGGUUGCAAUCCAUAACAAAUUUAGUAUGCAUAUAAACAACAUUUUAUGUUAGAUGCACUAGCCAGAGGAAUAUAAACAACCCCUCAAGUAAGGUUUUCAUCACUGACAGAUGGGAUGGAAAUGCACAGAAUCCCAUAGGUCAUUGUAACUAGAUUCUAACACCUCACAUGCUACAUGAUUUUUCUGACAGCCUUGCAGGACUUUAUUGACAACUGUUGAGGCUACAUGUUGUGCACUAUAAGAAGAGAAAAGCCUGAGAAGCAGGGAAAUCACUCAAAGCAAAUCCAGCAAGUCAAAACAGCAAGAGAGGGGGGGAAAAAAAAGAGACUGUGUUUUUACAAAUUCAGAAUUAAAGGAUAUUCAGGGUUGGAAGGGAUCUCUGUAGGUCAUCUUAUGUAACCCCCCUGCUUCAAAAAGAACACCUAAGGUUGUCUGGAGCCAUGCCAGGAUGGCAGUUCAGACUGAACUGAACAUAUAUUGUGUUGCCUGUAGAUCAAGAACAGCAGCUGGCAGAAGACUGUUGAAGAAACAACAUUGCAGGUAGUCAGUAGGUAAUGGAUGGAUGGAAGAUGUCUGCAAAUAACAUCACAAGUCUGUAUUCUUUCUAAAGGUGUAGAGUCAAACCAAGUAAAACAGAAUAAUGAGCAGUACUUGAUUGGUUUAUUCAAGUCUGUUACUACUAACCUUUCCACCUUCAAUACUUAAGCUACAAAUCCUGAGGUAGACAUAUGCAGUUUCAAGUCUGACAAGCUAGCAUGUUUUUUUGAAACAACAUUCUUGAUCUUCUCCUCUGAAAUAUUCUGUGUGUCUCAUUACCAUUCCACUACAAGCAUGGUGCAUGUUUCUUCAUCAUCACCUGCUUAUGCUCUUAUACCCUUCCAACUCUUUCAUCAAGAAAUGAUGAAAUAAUUUAUUCUUAUUUCCCUACGGUAUCUGCUCUGGUCAUGUCAAUCCACACAGAGACUAUACCAGCAUUAUACACUUGUCUAUAUGUUAUUUUAUAGCUCAAUUAUAACUUCUACACAGUUACACCGUAUGUAUUCCUCAUAAUGCCACUUGGCUGUAAACUUAAUUUCUCUCAAGUUUAUAUGGAAGGAUGGUUUCCUCCUUCUGGAAGGAAGUAAAUAACUUGAGCUACAGCAGUAGUUCAUGUGCCAAAAGUAUAGAUACUUCUAGUCAUAAACCAAUGGUUAGAUUGGGUACACAAACUCCACAUGAACUAUUAGGCUGAUCAAUUUGUAGGCAAGGUGUACAGCUUCUCAAACUGUACUGUGAUGACUGUGGCCUUGAUUUCCUAAGAGUAUGAUGAUCCUAAUAUGAAUAAGACAUCUUGUAUGCAAAACGGCAAAGAGAUUAUAUACAUAGAGAAAGGAAUGAUUAAAAAAAUUGCAUAACAUGAACUCAAAACUAUUAUGUGAAAGCAAAAAGUUUCUGGAACCUGUCAGAAAAAAAAAAAAAAAGAAAGAAAAAAGAAACAUAACAGAUAUGACCCAGAAUUCUUUUCAAGGUGAAACAGCAGAGAAUUUGUCUGAAACCUUUCCAAAGCCUUUUGUGAAUUAAUUUCAGUUCUACAGCAUUUUCUUCCAGUAUUAGAUGUUUUAGGGUUCUGACCUACAGAAAUGUAUGAUAACAAAUUUCACUCCCUGAAGAAUUGAAUGUUAACCUUCCAUAUUUCUGUCAUUUCCAGAGAAGUACUAGGGGACAUGUACAGAGAGCUGUUCCUCGCACCUGUGCUGCAGAAUGCCCUAUUUUAGCUCUAGCAACCAAUAUAACGGGGAGUGUAGAAAAGCAAACUCACUGUGCACUCUAUCACAAAAAAGCCAAUAAAAAAGAAACAUGAUGCAGAUGCACUUGUCUGAAGAGUCAAGAGAUGGGUGCGUCUUCUGUUUCUCUGCCUUUUUCUAACCAAGCAAAUCUCCCAAUCUUUCAAUUCUGAGGAGAGCUGGCUUCUUACAAAGAGCUGCAGUUGCUGUCUGUGAGCCUUUCUAGCAAGCUUAGGCGUAUCAACCCUGCAACAUAUAUCAUAUGAAUAAACUAUGUUUAUGUCAUGUUGAGGGCAUUCAGCUCUGGGAAAACAGCAAACUUUGCUGAUACUUUGAAGUCCAGCACAGCAAUCAUAUUCAGUCCUACUGCUUCUCUGUUUUCUGUUCCUUGCCUCAGAACACAAAAUGGAACCUUAAAGACAACCUAUGGAAUAAAUACGUAAAUAACCUUUGUUACAUAUUUUCCCUAUGGGAAAUAUUUUAGAUUCUAUUCUUUUGCUCCAAGUGUUCUUAAAUUAUCGAUCAUUUAUCUUUUAACUGUAUGUAUUUCUAAUAGUCUGGAACCACCCUCUGUAGCUGAAUCAGUGGUAGAACAUAUUUCUAACUGCUCGUGAAAUCAUUUUUACUCUAGUUAGAUUUCAGUCUCCCCAAAACAACCCUGUUGGAUCUUUAUAAGCAGCAAGUUUAGAAUAUUGAGCAAUCUUUACAGAAAGGUUAAAAUCUUUUCACAAGACUUACAAGAACUUGGCUUCACCAUUCCAAGAAUAAAAUUUUGGGACCAAACUUACACACAAAAGAACAAACUCUACAAAGGACAAUAAAACAG